AGAGUUUGAUCCUGGCUCAGAUUGAACGCUGGCGGCUUGGCUAAAACAUGCAAGUCGAACGAUCCCUUCGGGGAGAGUGGCGAAAGGGCGAGGAAUAUAAUCUAAUGUGUCCUAAGGUUGGGGAUAGCUCUUGGAAACGAGAGGUAAUACCCAAUGUCCUCCACGGAAAAAAGGUUUACAGCCUUUGGAGCAGCGAUUGUCCUAUGAGGUAUUUGGUGAGGUAAAGGCUCCCAAUCCGAACACGGGUAGCGGGUGUGAGAGCAUGACCCGCCGCAUCUCGACUGAUACCCUGCCUGGACUCCUACGGUAGGCUGGACCUUCCAAUCUUCCUCAUUGGGCUAAAGCCAGACUGACCAUUGCUUCGUGUGGGAUCAUGCUUCUUCCAUGUGUAAACAUUUGUCCGAAUCGAUAACUAAUGAUCAGAUACAUACGAAGGGCCGGCUUAUCUCAUGACUCCGGCCACGGUAAUACUAGAGAUCCGAGCGUGUUUGCUAAUCACUGGGCUUAAAGUCUACGCCUGGGGAUAUCUAUGUAUCUUGUGAUAUCUCACAGGUUAAUCGCGGAACUGCAGGGUAUACAACUUGUC
rnacentral:rRNA from 1 species